GGGAAUAUUGGACAAUGGGGGAAACCCUGAUCCAGCGAUGCCGCGUGUGUGAAGAAGGCCUGCGGGUUGUAAAGCACUUUCAGUGGGGAGGAGGGCUUAAAGGUUAAGAGCUAUUAAGUUGGACGUUACCCACAGAAGAAGCACCGGCUAACUCCGUGCCAGCAGCCGCGGUAAUACGGAGGGUGCGAGCGUUAAUCGGAAUUACUGGGCGUAAAGGGUGUGUAGACGGUUUGAUAAGUUAAGUGUGAAAGACCUGGGCUUAACCUGGGGGUGUCACUUAAGACUGUUAGACUUGAGUAUGGGAGAGGGUAGUGGAAUUUCCGGUGUAGCGGUGAAAUGCGUAGAGAUCGGAAGGAACACCAGUGGCGAAGGCGGCUACCUGGCCCAAUACUGACGUUGAGGCACGAAAGCGUGGGGAGCAAACAGGAUUAGAUACCCUGGUAGUCCACGCUGUAAACGAUGUCAACUAGCUGUUGGACUUAUAAAUUAAGUUAAGUGGCGACGCAA
rnacentral:rRNA from 1 species